rnacentral:tRNA from 1 species
CUAGAUAGGCGGGCCUUGAUCCCACGAAAAAUUAGUUAACAGCUAAACACCCAGAUCCAGCGGGCUUCUAUCCG